rnacentral:lncRNA from 1 species
CGCCGAGCGGAGGAGGUAGGAACCUGAUUUCCAGAAGCAGCUGGGUAGGCACCAUGGCCGGGAGCACCACCAUCGAGGCGGUAAAGCGCAAGAUCCAGGUUCUGCAGCAGCAGGCUGAUGAUGCGGAGGAGAGGGCCGAGCGCCUCCAGCGGGAAGUGGAGGGAGAAAGGCGGGCCCGGGAGCAGGCUGAAGCUGAGGUGGCCUCCUUGAACCGCAGGAUCCAGCUGGUUGAAGAGGAGCUGGACCGCGCCCAGGAGCGCCUUGCCACUGCUUUGCAGAAGCUGGAGGAAGCGGAGAAGGCUGCUGAUGAGAGUGAGAGAGGUAUGAAGGUGAUUGAAAACCGGGCUCUAAAAGAUGAAGAAAAGAUGGAGCUCCAGGAAAUCCAGCUGAAGGAAGCAAAGCACAUUGCAGAAGAGGCAGACAGGAAGUAUGAAGAGGUGGCUCGUAAGUUGGUGAUUAUUGAAGGAGACUUGGAACGCACGGAGGAACGCGCCGAGCUGGCAGAGUCGUGAGUAUUUUGUCUCCAGAUCUUGUCAGCUCAUCCUGCCUGCUUGGGCACUAACUCCGAGUAA